CGCGUAGGUGGUCACUUAAGUCAGAUGUGAAAGCCCGGGGCUUAACCCCGGAACUGCAUUUGAAACUAAGUGACUUGAGUAUGGGAGAGGGAAGUGGAAUUCCUGGUGUAGCGGUGAAAUGCGUAGAUAUCAGGAGGAACACCGGUGGCGAAGGCGACUUCCUGGACCAAUACUGACGCUGAGGCGCGAAGGCGUGGGGAGCAAACAGGAUUAGAUACCCUGGUAGUCC
rnacentral:rRNA from 1 species